rnacentral:rRNA from 1 species
GGUAUGAGCAAGCCUGAUGCAGCCAUGCCGCGUGUAUGAAGAAGGCCUUCGGGUUGUAAAGUACUUUCAGCGGGGAGGAAGGGAGUAAAGUUAAUACCUUUGCUCAUUGACGUUACCCUCAUAAGAAGCACCGGCUAACUCCGUGCCAGCAGCCGCGGUAAUA